rnacentral:rRNA from 1 species
GACGAACGCUGGCGGCGUGCUUAACACAUGCAAGUCGAACGGAAAGGCCCUGCUUUUGUGGGGUGCUCGAGUGGCGAACGGGUGAGUAACACGUGAGUAACCUGCCCUUGACUUUGGGAUAACUUCAGGAAACUGGGGCUAAUACCGGAUAGGAGCUCCUCCUGCAUGGUGGGGGUUGGAAAGUUUCGGCGGUUGGGGAUGGACUCUCGGCUUAUCAGCUUGUUGGUGGGGGAGUGGCUUACCAAGGCUUUGACGGGUAGCCGGCCGGAAAGGGUGACCGGGCAGUUCGGAAUUGAGAUAAGGCCGAUGCUCCUACGGGAGACGGCGUUGGGGAAGAUAGCAAAAUAGAAGGAAGCCUGAUGGAGCAACGUUGGGUGCGGGAUAACUGCCUUCGGGGUGGAAUCCGCUUUGGCCUGUGACGAAGCGUGAGUGACGGUAAUUAGUAGAGAAGCACCGGCUAACUACGUG